UAACGACAUUCUCCAUUUGGAUUACUCGAAAUUGUUGCAAGAUGACUCUGAUGGAAAUGACGAAGAUGAAAAAGUAGAUAAAAGAAUGGGUAAUUUAAUUCAUAGUGCAUAUGAAGAAAAUAUGCGCACAAAUUAUUUUAAUACUUUAGACAAUCUGAACAAACCAUCAGAUUUUAAUAUUAAGGAACAUGAUAAUGAACAUGAACAUGAACAUGGACAUGGACAUGAACAUGGACAUGAGCAUGAACAUGAGCAUGAACAUGAAGAAACUGGAUAUAAAAAUAACAUACCAUCAACUCCUCAUAUACAUAAAAAAGAUAGUAUUUUAAAGGGAGAAUUAUUAAAUUAUAGUGACAUUUAUAAUUUAACAUACGAUCUUAAUAAUCUAUCUUUAGAGAGUGAAAUGAAUUGUGUCUUAAAUGACACUGUAGAAAAUUGUGAUUAUGGAAAUAGUAGUGGUAGUAGUCAGGUUAAUAAAAAUAACUACAGUACCAAUGGUGAAAACAGCGGUAACACUAGUCAUAAUGGUAACACUAGUCAUAAUGGUAACAUUAGUAACAUUGGAAACAGUAGUCAUAAUGGUAACACUAGUCAUAAUGGUAACAUUAGUAACAUUGGAAACAGUAACUGUGUUAAUAAUGAUGAAAGUCAAUGCCCUUCUUUUCUCUCUUCUCAUGAUGCCACAGACAUAAAAUAUAAGAACGAUAAAAAUAACCUAAAAAAAAAUAUAAAAAAAUUAGUACCUGAACAUAAUGAGUUGACAAUACACAAUGAUGUAAGUAGAGAUAAUGAAUUAAAUAGUAAAGAUAAUAAAAAGAAUAGUUUUGGUAAUAACAAAAUCGACAACAGUAACAAUAUGAACAUGAUUAAUGAACGUGAAAUAUAUAGACAUAAUAAAAGUAAAAGUAUACGCACUCUUAAAAGUCAAAUUAACAAAAAUAAAAAAAGUGAUUUUAAUAAUAUGAAGUCAUUAAGACACGAUUUGAAUUCUGUAACUGUUGAUCAUAAUAAUUUAAAAGAAAAUAAUAACUAUGAAGAUGAAGAAAAAAAAAAAAAAAAAAAAAAAAGUAAGACAAAAUAUGACACAGCGGAUGGUAGUGGUUAUACAAAAAAAGAAAAUAAUAAUACUGUUCGGUUAACAGAAUUGAAAAAAAAUGUAAAUGAUGAUAGAAAAGAAAUUAAAAAACCUGUGUUAAAUGGUGAUGCUAAUUAUUUUAAUGAUGUUAAAGAAUUAGGAAGGUUAAAAAAACAAAAAGCAAAUAAAACUACUGUUGAAAAUAAAAAUGAUAAACAAAAAAAUAAUAAUGUACAAAUAAAAAAAGAAAAAACAG
rnacentral:lncRNA from 1 species